rnacentral:misc_RNA from 1 species
AACUUUCAACAACGGAUCUCUUGGCUCUGGCAUCGAUGAAGAACGCAGCGAAAUGCGAUACGUAAUGUGAAUUGCAGAAUUCAGUGAAUCAUCGAAUCUUUGAACGCACAUUGCGCCCGCCAGCAUUCUGGCGGGCAUGCCUGUCCGAGCGUCAUUUCAACCCAUCGAGCCCCCGGGCUUGCGUUGGGGCUCUGCGGCUGCCGCAGGCCCUGAAACCCAGUGGCGGUCUCGCUAGCAGCACCGAGCGUAGUAGCAGUAUUUCGUUCUGGUGGCGCGGCGGGUUCCGGCCGUAAAAUUUACAGUGGUUUCCCACUGUAACUUUCUAGGUUGACCUCGGAUCAGGUAGGAAUACCCGCUGAACUUAAGCAUAUCAAUAAGCGGAGGAAAAGAAACCAACAGGGAUUGCCCUAGUAACGGCGAGUGAAGCGGCAACAGCUCAAAUUUGAAAUCUGGCUCCCCUUGGGGGUCCGAGUUGUAAUUUGCAGAGGGAGUUUCUGGCGCGGCACCUACUGAGUCCCCUGGAACGGGGCGCCGGAGAGGGUGAGAGCCCCGUACGGUGGGAUGCCCAGCCUGUGUGAAACCCCUUCGACGAGUCGAGUAGUUUGGGAAUGCUGCUCAAAAUGGGAGGUAAAUUUCUUCUAAAGCUAAAUACCGGCCAGAGACCGAUAGCGCACAAGUAGAGUGAUCGAAAGAUGAAAAGCACUUUGAAAAGAGGGUUAAAUAGCACGUGAAAUUGUUGAAAGGGAAGCGCUUGUGACCAGACUUGCGCCGGGCGGGUCAUCCAGUGCUCCGCACUGGUGCGCCCCGCCCGGCUCAGGCCAGCAUCGGUUUUUGCGGGGGGAGAAGGGCCCGGGGAACGUAGCUCCUCCGGGAGUGUUAUAGCCCCGGGCGCGAUGCCCCCGCGGGGACCGAGGACCGCGCUUCGGCAAGGAUGCUGGCGUAAUGGUCACCAGCGACCCGUCUUGAAACACGGACCAAGGAGUCAAGGUUUUGCGCGAGUGUUUGGGUGUCAAACCCGCACGCGUAAUGAAAGUGAACGUAGGUGAGAGCUUCGGCGCAUCAUCGACCGAUCCUGAUGUAUUCGGAUGGAUUUGAGUAGGAGCGUUAAGCCUUGGACCCGAAAGAUGGUGAACUAUGCUUGGAUAGGGUGAAGCCAGAGGAAACUCUGGUGGAGGCUCGCAGCGGUUCUGACGUGCAAAUCGAUCGUCAAAUCUGAGCAUGGGGGCGAAAGACUAAUCGAACCAUCUAGUAGCUGGUUACCGC